GAGGGAAACGUUACUGAUAAUACUGGAUAAGUUAGUAUAUCGCAUGAUAUGCAAAUGAAAGCUACGGCACUAAAGGAGAGCUUUGCGUCCUAUUAGCUAGUUGGUAAGGUAAGAGCUUACCAAGGCGAUGAUAGGUAGCCGGCCUGAGAGGGUGGACGGCCACAAGGGGACUGAGAUACGGCCCUUACUCCUACGGGAGGCAGCAGCA
rnacentral:rRNA from 1 species